rnacentral:rRNA from 1 species
GAUGCUAUUUCUAGAGAUAGAAAGUUACUUCGGUACAUCGGUGACAGGUGGUGCAUGGUUGUCGUCAGCUCGUGUCGUGAGAUGUUGGGUUAAGUCCCGCAACGAGCGCAACCCCUAUUGUUAGUUGCCAUCAUUCAGUUGGGCACUCUAGCGAGACUGCCGGUAAUAAACCGGAGGAAGGUGGGGAUGACGUCAAAUCAUCAUGCCCCUUAUGACCUGGGCUACACACGUGCUACAAUGGUUGGUACAACGAGUUGCGAGUCGGUGACGGCGAGCUAAUCUCUUUAAAGCCAAUCUCAGUUCGGAUUGUAGGCUGCAACUCGCCUACAUGAAGUCGGAAUCGCUAGUAAUCGCGGAUCAGCACGCCGCGGUGAAUACGUUCCCGGGCCUU